AGCGCCAAAAAUCGUUGCGGCAACACGGCCGAUUGCAGGAGGCGCUUUUGUGGCGCCAACAGCAACUGUGGCCCACAGCUUUCAGCCAAUCUCAUCUCAAGCGAAUAAUGCGACGGAGGCGGCAACAUCAUGUGAGCGUUGCUGCAACGAGGAGGAGAAGCACAAAAUUGGGGCGGCUGCCACGCCCUGUCCCUGCUGCAAUCUUACCACACCGCUGCUGAGUGCGUCGGUGCUCAAGGCGACAGUUGGUUAAUGGAAUUUAAUUAAAUAAACAAUAGCUAAAGACUUGGCGCUUAAUAAUAAACCACGGAAGCGGAAGCGAGUAUGAAAAAGUGUUGCAUAUUUUGGGGCGCAUAUGAAAAUGAAGCGAAAGAG